GUGUACCGGAAGGUGCACCUGGAAAGUCAGGAUAGAGCUUGAUUAGUUAAGCAUUUCAUUUACACUGAAAAUACACUGUGCAAUUCAGUUUAUUCUGAUAAAUUUUAACUUACUUUAGUUGUUAGUUGUUAAAAGUUUUUUUAAUUAAAUUAUUUUUAAUAGGUUAUGUUUGUGUAUAGAAUAUAGAUAAAAUUAUUUAAGUGGUAGGUUAAUUGUAUCGUGAGAGGUUGAUUGAAAUAGUUUGAAAAUAUAUUUUUAUAAAAGUAGAUUAAUGAUUGUACCUUGUGUAUCAGGGUUUAUUAAAAAAAUUGCAAAUAUUUGUAUUUUCCCGAUUUGAAGAGAGCUAAAUAAAUGUGUUAGUUAAUGUGGAAUAAUUAUUAAUAACAUUUAUUUAGUAAUGAAACGUUAUCCGUUCUUUAAGAUAUCUGGUUUUCCGAGAAAUGAAUUUAAUUCAGGUUUAAAAAAGUGUAAUUUAAUUUAUUAAAUAAAUCAUUUUUUUUAAGCUAAUGCCCUGGGGGAUAAGCUUUAGGGUAGGUUUUAUAAUUAGUGAAAUUUUAAAAGAUUUAGUAGGCUUAGAAUUAGCCAUCUAUUAAAGGAUGUUAUAAUUUAAUUUUUUGUAAGUUUAAUUUUCUAAGAAUUUAAGUUUUAUAUCGGAGCAAUGUAACUAAUUUUUAGUUACUUGAGAUAAUGAUAAAAUUAGUAUAAAAAUUGUUUAAAUUAUUAAAAAAAUGUGAGGUUACAUUAAGGAAUUAGGCAAAUUAGUACUCGCCUGUUUAACAAAAACAUGUCUUCUUGAUUAUAAUUUGAAGUCUGACCUGCCCACUGAAUUUUAUAUUUGAAGGGCCGCGGUAUUUUGACCGUGCAAAGGUAGCAUAAUCAUUAGUCUUUUAAUUGAAGGCUAGAAUGAAUGGUUGGACGAGGUACUGACUGUCUCGGUGUGAUUGAUAUUAGAAUUUAACUUUUAAGUUAAAAGGCUUAAAUAUAUUUAA
rnacentral:rRNA from 1 species